UACGAAGGGGGCUAGCGUUGCUCGGAAUCACUGGCGUAAAGCGCACGUAGGACGGAUUGCUAAGUCAAGGGGUGAAAUCCUGGAGCUCAAACUCCAGGAACUCGCCCCUUGAUACUGGCGGUCGUCGAGUCCGGGAGAGGUGAGUGGAACUGCGAGUGUAGAGGUGAAAUUCGUAGAUAUUCGCAAGAACACCAGUCGGCGAAGGCGGAGCU
rnacentral:rRNA from 1 species